rnacentral:lncRNA from 1 species
GAAGUUAGGAUGUGAAUUAUUUACUGACUGUCACUCUUUUAAGCAUAGAAAAAGUUGUAGAAGGUUUUCUAGAAAACAAAAGAUAUUGUUGGAAAGCUAGUUUGAAGGAAUGCAAUUUUUGUGCAAGGAUUGUUAACUUUGAGUCUGCAAUGAGAGAGUUAUGGCUAUUAAAAGUCUAGAUGUAAAAUUUGUACCUACUAUCACUCUUUCAAGCAUACAAAGAGUUGUAG